UACGGAGGAUGCAAGCGUUAUCCGGAAUGAUUGGGCGUAAAGCGUUUUUAAGGUGGUUUGGUAAGUCUACUGUUAAAUAUCAGGGCUUAACCCUGAACAGGCAGUGGAAACUAGCAAGCUUGAGUACGGUAGGGGCAAAGGGAAUUCCCGGUGUAGCGGUGAAAUGCGUAGAUAUCGGGAAGAACACCAAAGGCGAAAGCACUUUUGCUGGGCCGAAAACUGACACUGAUAGAACAAAGCUAGGGGGAGUAAAAUGGG
rnacentral:rRNA from 1 species